ACAGGGAACAGGUAGAGCA
rnacentral:miRNA from 1 species